rnacentral:lncRNA from 1 species
UAUAGACCCAUAGAGCCUCCAAAAACCAUCCGAUUCGGGUUAAAUCAAUAUUUUGGUUUGACUAGAUUCAUUUAAGAAAAAUAUAUUUCUCCUCUCCGGCGCGACUUCUGAAAAUUGUCUCCUCUCUCCAAAGUUAUCUUUUCUCUGCCUUAUAAAGGUAUCUUUCUUUGUUUUUUUUCUUCUUAUACCUCCGUAGUUUAUUAUUUUUAGACUAAUAUGAUAAAAUAAUUAGAUUAUCAAUUAGUCUACGUAUUUAUACAUUAGACCCUAGCCCGUAGCUAUUUUUUCUUCCAUAAAACAGCUUGGCCCUGAUUUUUCGAAUAGCCAUAACUUUUUACUCGUUUGUCCAAAUCCAACGAAACCAACGCCCACUUCUUCGUUAUGAUCCCCUCUAUCCAGUAAUCCAACCCAAAUAUGUUUUUGAAAUUUUCAAAUUUCGAAAUUUGUUUAGAUUCAUAUUCAAACUUCUUUUGAUCAUAACUUGAGUUCCGUAGCUCCGUUUGAGUUGAUUCUUUUUGCAAAUCGAAGCUCUUGACAUAAACAUUUUAAUAAGGCCAAAUUCACAUAAUUUUGGUACUGUUAGAAAUUGUUUUAUGUUGCAAGAGUUAUUUGCUUGGUUUCGAUGUUUUCCGAAUUGUUUUCUUCGUUCUUUCUGAUCUUUUGAGUGAUUGCUUAUGUGUGGUUACUAUUGCUUGCUUACGAUAGAUUGACCGGAGUGUGACGAUUAGAGCUAUCAAGAUUUUUGAGUGCGAAUCAUCUUCAUCAACAUUGCAGGCAAGUUCACACUUUGAUCAUAUCCCCUUCCAUACCCAGUUUUUUUGCAUUAGAUCAAUCUUCACACAUUGCAUGAUUAGGAUCUAAUUAAACUGUGGGAUGGGAAGUAGAUGAGGUAGUACCUAUUACCUGUUUAUUAUCAAACCUUUGGGAGUUACAUUCUAUGUUUGCUUAUUAUGCCAUGCUAUGCUAGUAGACGUGGAUUGGGUUUUGAGAGUAUCCAUGACAGAUGUGAUAUUGUUAAUUAAUGGUUUACUUAAGGUGGCAACUUAAACACACAUCUGGGUGGAUUGAGGCACCUGGUUAUUCUAGGAUUGCCUGUCUAGGCACCUGGGUAAUCCAGGACUUGCCUGUUUUCUUUUGGACCGCCACCCAGGCUCAAAGGGGUCAUGAGAUUAUUCAUAUUAGAAACUUCCGUGUGCAGCCACAAGCCAUUAUGGGCUCUGGCAUCGUUGAGUAAGUCAUGCGAACUCUUACAGGGUAGACUAGCAGAUGUAGGGGAAAGUAGGUGUACCGGUCUAUCCAUCGUAAGGUGCUAGCGCUUCUGAAAGACUAUGUCUCGGUCAUCCGUUUCUCAAACACCAUGUAGUGCGAGAAAUCCAAUGGAGGCGAUCGAGUCUUGUGGGGAAAAGUGCGCAAACCUCUGCAGAGUGUAUAAACUAAUCAUGAUUAGCCGUGUCCCCGGUUAUGGACAUCUUGAGUAUCUAGUUCUUGGAUUAUCCUGUUGAUCUCAUCACGUUACUUUAAAUGAAUAUUGUUGGGUUUAAUGAUGUUACUUAAUUGGGAUUGAGAAUGCUGUCAACCAUUCUCAAUGUUCAACAACCACCAUGAUAGUUAAAUAAAAUUUAUUCCUUUGCAGUAGGGAAAAAUUGGCUUUACGCAAAAGGCUUAUAACCAUAGAUCUUUUCCACCAGCCAAAUAUGCAUGUAGUGAUAGUAUUUAUUCAUAAUUCUCUAUGGUGUGAAUUUGCCAGCACAUUCAAUGUACUGACCCUCUGUGGCUGCAACGUCUCAUGUUGCAGGAUUAUCUUACGACGAGUAAGUGAUACGUUAGGGUUACGAUUUCUACACUCAACUUUGCCGUUGGUGUUGAUGGGGAUCCACAACCUUGUUGCUUCCGCUAUUGUGGAUUUGAGGUAAUAGUAUUUAUGUUACUUAUACAUGUGAUUUACCUCUGUUAUAAAUCCUCGAGUACUGUGUGUGUCAGCAUACCGAUCCAGGGAUGACACUUAAGCACAGAGACUUGACCCAUUCGGAUCGGGUCGCACCAAGAUAGUAUCAGAGCACAUGUUGACUGUAGGACGUGACCCUAGAAACUGGCAAGCCCAUAGCAAAGACUUUUCUCUACAACUUUCCCUUUUAAAAAGAUCUUUUAACUCUCUUCUCUUCUGAGUUUAUUCAAAUUUCCCUUUAGUGAAACCAUACCCCUUUCCCUUUUGACCACUCGAAGAUUCGACUGAUGAGACCACUCCAAGAAGUACAAGAUAUCGGACAACUAAGACCACUUCGGAAUGAAGAGUAUUUUCCGUGCAUCUGAAUAAUGGAAACUACAACGGUUGAAGACCGAAGACAAGUAGAAUUUGAAGGCUCUGAAGAAUCCCCAGAUUUGUAUGACCUAGGAAGGCUACCCUUAUGGAACUUGACAGAUUAUGGAAGUUGUCAAUACCCGAGAUCAAGGUGUAUCGGAGAAAGACUAAAACAAGGAGUAUGAGAACUCGAAGUUUUGUCAAAGAAACCCUAAGGCAGGAGAUAUCAACUGUGGAGAGAUAGCUCAUGGAAAUGACAAGAGCAGAAACACGGUUAUCCGUGAUGUCAUCACCCGCUAAUGCUAUUGUCACCGUGCUGAGCUAAGGAUGCAAGUCUUCAGAAUGGAUUUGAUGGAAGAAGGCUGAUGGAGCACCUAUCAUAAGAUGAAGUUUUAGCCCUAGCCGGUGUAUCACCAGGAUCUGGAGUAAUACAUCAAUAAGUUUAAGAUGGACUUGUAGGAAGUCAUAUUUGACAAGGAGACCAUUCAUGAAGAACUUAGGACCUAGAAGCUAAAAGUAGCCAAGCUGGAGGAGCUACAACCUCGAGAUACCGAAGUUUUGUCAGGAACUGAAGGACAGCAGGAUCAUGGUUCAUGUCAAGGAUGUUGAAACCCGGAAGUUUGGAAUGCAACUCCGGAAAUAUUAAAGGACGUCACGAGAAGGACUUGAGAAGGACAAGCAUGAUCGAAAGAAGCCCAUCGGAGAUAUGAACAAAACUGGAAGAGUUUGGCGACGUUGAAGAUUUAUUGACCUUUAGAAGACCAAACCCCUGUUAUAUACCUACGUUAGAUGCGACGUUUGUGAGCUGUCAUUUGCUUGAUGUUUUUCCCGACGGCCACAAAUAAAAUCUAUCUUUUCAAAACUUUUGUUUGUAUUGUGUGUAUCCCUCCCUAUAUCUCUUAUCUCACCCCAAACCCACAUGGACCCAAUAGAGGAUGAAUGGAGAUGAGCUUGUAUUUUCUGGACCGAUGAGUCAGUUGGAGACAGACCAAUGGAUUUAGAACAUGAAAGAUCACAUAUAGAAUAACCCUAUAGUUGGAAAUGAUAUGACCCAGCAUGCUCUUUAGUGCUUUGAAAGAGGUGCUGCUACUUGGUGGAGGAUAUACCAAACCAUGAAUGGAUGGCAAGGAGUAACCACUUGGAGAGAAUUUAAGUUGACUAUGCCAAAGCCUCGGCUUGUGUCCUAGAAGUUGAAGCCUUAUGGAAAGGAUAUGAAGAAACAUUGUGCAUGCAAGAUUUGUGGAGAAAUCGGACACACCCAUAAAGAACACAAGGAUGAAUGCCCUAAUUGUGAAGGAAGUCACCCAGCUGAAGAAUGCCCAACUAGGCAGAUCACUUGUUUCUUGUGUGAAGGGACUACCCACUACCCUGCUCAGUGUCACAUUUACCCCAUGGUACAAAGAACCAUCCAGCAGAAGAAAGAAGCAACGAGAGGAGCCCUUAUGGAAAGUUUAGAAGAACCUGUGAUGAAGGAAGAUGUGGAGGACACACGCAAAGAAGAGCCAAUUAAACCCUGCACCAAGUCAUGCUAUUCAUGUGGAGAAGAAGGACACAUCUGCCAGAAUUGUUUGAAUGGGGAUUUAGUAGAAUUCCCGACAGAGGAAGUAGAGUAUGACCCAUAGGAGAUAGAAGCCCCGAUUGGAAUAGAAAAGUCCAGGAAGAGAAACCGAUUGGAUUCCAGGAAGGACCUGAGUCAUAUCACCUAUUACAGGUGCAAGGAGUCAAGGCACUACCUCAGCAAUUUCCCAAAAAGGAAACCUCGAUACUUGUCAGAAGUAAUAUGUUUGCCAGCGAAUGCCCUAAGGAGAAGGAAACGUGUGCUAGAUAGUUGAGUUUGCAACAAAAGAAAUGGAGUAGUAGAAGUGAGAACAUUUUCUUUUAUACUGAGAUGUUGAGUUGAGACAUGUAAUGGAAAAGCAGAAGAUUAUAAUCAUUGGAGAAUCAAUAAAGUUAGCAUCGUUGGUAAAGAUUUGGGUUUUAUGAGUUGUUACUCUACGAAGAAGAAUUUUGGCCAUUUUGAGGAUAUGAGAAAUAUGGUCUAUGGAAGAUUUGUGCAUUUAAGGGUGGUAGUACCCCGUAAGAACCGUUGACCCCUAGAAAAGAUAAGGAUACUCCACUGAGUGGAUUUCGGACAAAAUGAAUACGAGUUUUGUCUCGAUAUGUGUGAUACCCCAAGAGUAUGUGGGAUGAAGUUGGAGACCGUCAGUUGUUUGGACCAAAUGUGAUCAAGGAGUCGGAAGAGAAUGUUAAGUUGAUACGAGAUAGACUGAAAGUAGCUCAGUCCAGGUAGAAGAGUUAUGCAGACUUAAAAACGCAAGGAGGUAGUCUAUGAAAUUGGAGACAGAGCAUGUCUUCGUGUGACCCCUCUGCGAGGAGUUAAACAAUUUGGAGUUAAGGGACAGUUAGCCCCGAGAUUUGUAGGACCAUACCGAGUUUUGGAGCGUAUGAGAGAAGUGGCCUACAAGUUUGAGUUACCCGAAGGACUGUCAGGAGUUCAAGAUGUGUUUCACGUUUCCCAGUUGAAGAAGUGCCAUGCAGAGAUGGCCAAUAUUCCCCUGUAAGGACGCUUGACCGCGGAAAGGAUAAUGAUGUUCCACGAAGUGGAAUAUGGACUUCAUAAGUAUAAGUUUUUUUCUCGGUAUGAGGGAUAUCCCACGAGGAUGAAGAGAUGAAUUACUAUUGGAUAUAAAGGAGGUAUGAUGUCGGAAAUAUGGAUCAAUGGAAACUCCAUGAUGAGUCCGAGUAAUCAUGUCCUAGUUUGGUGCCAAUAGAAGGGAGGAAGAUAGUACAAUUGGAUGGAUUUUAAUUAUGCUAGGAAGCUAGAAGUUGGAUGUUGGAAUAACGAUAAGUUGCCCAGAGGAUAAGUUCAAGGUUUACAAGUGAUGAGAUGGGACAUAACCCACAGGCCCCAAGACCUGCCAAGAAGCAAGCACAUUCUUGCUGAAGGAAGAACCCUGGAGGAAGAUACGACGUUUAUCGGCAGACAAUUUUAUAGGAGUAACGCAAAACCUGAGAGUUGUGAAGGAACGAUAGAUGGUUGUUUGGCUUGCAGAAUCUAUGGAUUUAUCCGAACUUGGUUCGUCGACAAGAGAAAUUCUGCAAUGCUUGUGAGGAUGACCGAGUGUUAGAAUGCGAGAUUCGCUAAACCAUAUACAAGGUAAUGAUUUGGGGGUGGGAUGGAUUGAUCACCAUACCGACUUACUCAUAUUAUUCGCCUUGCUAUAUGGGAUGGUAAAUCUGAGUGACUUACCUAUAGUAGAGAGACGGCGAUAUUAAACCUUGCUUAAGCCUUAGAAUGGUAUAAGUAUUUUUCGCUUGUACAAGGCAGCUUUUGCCAACCGUAGGUUAUACGGUGAGAUUCAACCGAGACCCAUUUCCUGCAGGAGAAACCCUAAAUUGUUGACCACCAUGAGAUAUCGAUAGGUUUUUAGUUUUGGCGCCAGACCCGUCAGCUAAGAAGAUCCAGUCUCGGAAUAACCUUACCAGGAUGAAAAGACAGAAGAAUUGAGGAAAAGAUUAUGCCACUACCGGAAGAGCCAGAGAAGGAAUUUUCCGAGGAUUUGAGAAGACCGACACUGUUAACAAUACGGAUGAAGUAUAUGAGUUUCGAUGGAGCUGUAACCAUGCUUCUAAGGGUGGUAGCACCCCAAACCCCUGUGAUGAUUGAUGGAUUUUGAGAAGACCCCAAACCCUAACCUUUUUCUUUCUAGCCUCUCCGAAUCUCGAGGACGAGAUUCAUUUUAAGGGUGGUAGGUUUGUAACAUCCCAAAAUUCUAAAUUUUGGAAUGUUAUAAUAAAUAGAUAGAUUUGAUUGAUUGUUUGAUUGAUUGUCCGAAAGUGAGUGAAUUCGAAAACUUUUUGAAAGUUAAAUGAGAGGGAAUAAAAGGACUUUCCCAAACUUUCAUAUUUGCUUUCUGAUCUCCAUGAAUUCAAAUUCUUUUCAAACUCAAAACCCCGGAGAGAAGAUGACAUGACUUCUUCCAUUUAAAUUAAAUGAAAGAGUAUUUGAAAAUAAUUGAAUUUUAUUUGGAAAUAUUUCAAUUCAUAAACUUCAUGCAGCUCAAUGAUUUUCAUGAGAGAAGAUAAAAGGACUUCUUCAAAUUAUAUGAAAUAUGAGUUGGGAGGUUCAAAGAAUUAAAUUCAAAGUUCUUUUGAAUUUAUUUUCAAUUUGGAGUUAUUUGAGUUUUAUUCAAAUUAUUUUUCUCCAAAAAUAAAAUAUAUGGAAAUUAGGGUAACAUGAUUCCCUACAAUAGAAACUUGGAGAAAAAUUAAUUUGAAAUCACUUUAGUAUUUUUAAAAUGAUUUUAGUUGGAUUUUAAUAGACCAGUAGCACUCUUUGAUUUAUCUGAAUUUCUGUGGAUUUUAUUUGAAGUUAUGAAAAUGUUCAUGUCGUAGAAAAUCUUUUUCUGAAAAUUUUGAUAUAUAAUAUGCCUAUAAAAAGUUUUUUUUUCAUCUUCAGUUUAUCGCAUUCUGUUAAAAAAAAACUUCGCGCGCGCCUGAAACUAACUGUCGCCUACAUGCACAGUAUAGUACUUCUGGCGCCCCAUUGUUUUUUUUCUCUUAAAUAGGCUAGGCCCAGCCAGUCUUUUUUUUUUCUUAGGCAGAAUUUUGUUAAAAAAAAACUGCACCGCGCGGCCGACCGAAGGCCUUUAGGCCCAUCGCCUCUUUUCUUCUCUGUUUCGUAUAUUUUCGUCUACGUUUAGUUCCACAUUGCCUAGCCUUUGACCCCUAAGCCUCUUUUCCAUCAAUAAAUAUAGACCCAUAAAGCCUCCAAAAACCAUCCGAUUCGGGUUAAAUCAAUACUUUGGUUUGACUAGAUUCAUUUAAGAAAAAUAUAUUUCUCCUCUCCGGCGCGACUUCUGAAAAUUGUCUUCUCUUUCCAAAGUUAUCUUUUCUCUGCCUUAUAAAGGUAUCUUUCUUUGUUUUCUUUCUUCUUAUACCUCCGUAGUUUAUUAUUUUUAGACUAAUAUGAUAAAAUAAUUAGAUUAUCAAUUAGUCUACGUAUUUAUACAUUAGACCCUAGCCCGUAGCUAUUUUUUCUUCCAUAAAACAGCUUGGCCCUGAUUUUUCAAAUAGCCAUAACUUUUUACUCGUUUGUCCAAAUCCAACGAAACCAACGCCCAC